AAAACCCUGAACCUAUGCAUAACAACACAGUACGUAAAGACGGCUGAAGUGACACAGGUCUAUUUUAAUUAGCACUGAGUCUCUGAGCUGUAAUAAAAAAUUCCAGGACACUGGGAAAUGAUGUUGAGCCAUUUACAGAAGAGAUUAGUGCUUCCUCCGACAGAGAGCAAUUUUAUAAAUAGCUUUUUAUGGAUUAGUAUGAAAUGACAUACACUUCAGAUUUUAUCAACUUCAUUAUUACCAGAAGAAAAUAGUUUUAGGAAGUAAAAAUCACAGCAGCAUAACAGCGAGCAUAAACACAUAGCAGCGACAUAAAACGUUAUUAAUUAGACCUCCCAGUCCUCUCAUAUAUGUGAGAAAUGGGCCAGACUGGAUCCCUUUGACAGAGUAAAGACAUGUCUCACAUCAAAUGAAACAGUAAAAAAGGGCUACAGCACUACAUGAAUGUCUUUUGGGUGUAUAAAACACAGUCCCAGUAAAAAACAAAAAAAUCUUUAUCAUUAGAUGCUAAUGUUAGCCCACGACCCAUUUGCGGCUCUAAUUCUACGAUACUUUAUCCAAACCUAAUGAUAUAUGAUAAUAUGGCUCAACUGAAAGCUACUAUCCUAAGGAAUCUGAUACAUACAUGUAUGUGCUAGCAUGCUAGCUAGUACAGGUAAAUUAUGAGCGACGAACGGUAAGUGCUAAGCUAACCGCUAGCUAAAUAAACAAUGUAAACAUUCAGAUAUAAAGUCCAUAUUACUGGUGAACCAAUAGCAUUUUUUGUUAUUUCUACAUUCUGGGAAGCUGCUCAAUCACUCUGUGACCUUCUAUUCGUCAGUAGGAAAAAACACCCCAAAGAGAGAGAGAAGCUAGUUGGAACAUUGCACUGUAGUUUGUGUUUUAUACCUAUAUCACACAUAUCAUCUAUAGCGCCUCGCGCUGAAAUGCAUGCUGGGAAUGAUAAUAGCACAUUUAAUACUAUUGAAGUCUCCUACAAAGUCAAUGUUGUCGCAAAUAAGAUCUGACAGCUGCUGUGCAGAACGGGCAAAGUCCACACCAGACCAACGGGAAGCGUCAUCACCUGUAGCUGAUAACCGUGUCCAGCGCUGUGGGUUCAGGAUCAUUUGAACUCUUUCCUUCCCUCAUUCCUCCUGUCAGUGGGACGUCAUUGCUCUGCAUCUUCAGUGUGGGGGAUUUCUGACAGGGGUUAAUGGAUUGGGCAGGAUGAAGCAUUGGGAUGCACUGUUGGAGAUUGCCAUUUGUUUUUGUGUGGGAUCAAUGAGGAGAUCUGGAUUUGGAGCCUGCUGGAGAUGAUGGACGUAUAUCACAACGCAAAGCCAUAAGCCAUGAGACUCUGUCAGUGGGAAAACACAUCACUUCAUCGACUCUGCCUUAAUUUCACAUUUUGUCAGAAAAAUAUGUACGUCUUUGUGCUUAAAGAAUCUUUCAACGCUUUUAUGCCACUAGUAAACAGAAGUAAAACAAC
rnacentral:lncRNA from 1 species